rnacentral:rRNA from 1 species
CAGCAGCCGCGGUAAUACGUAGGUGGCAAGCGUUGUCCGGAAUUAUUGGGCGUAAAGCGCGCGCAGGCGGAUAGGCCAGUCUGUCUUAAAAGUUCGGGGCUUAACCCCGUGAUGGGAUGGAAACUGCCAAUCUAGAGUAUCGGAGAGGAAAGUGGAAUUCCUAGUGUAGCGGUGAAAUGCGUAGAUAUUAGGAAGAACACCAGUGGCGAAGGCGACUUUCUGGACGAAAACUGACGCUGAGGCGCGAAAGCCAGGGGAGCGAACGGGAUUAGAUACCCCUGUAGUCCCUGUCUCUUAUACA